AUCGCUUCUCGGCCUUUUGGCUAAGAUCAAGUGUAGUAUCUGUUCUUAUCAGUUUAAUAAAGCACAGCUCGUUGACCCCCAGUCCCAUCAACUCUGCUGAGUAGGGCUGGAGAGAGACCUAGGGAUGUGUAUUUCUAAUAAACUCCUAGGGUGUUCUGAUGCUGUUGUAUGGAGACCACACACUGAGAACCUCU